rfam:Asian citrus Psyllid, Diaphorina citri - Florida Strain, whole genome shotgun sequence.
GCCUAGUUAGCUUGGUAGGUAGCGUCUGCCUUAUAAGCGCUAGACCACGGGUUCGAUUACCGUACGGGGCG